ACCGUCAGGGGACGUUCAGUUACUAACGUCCUUGUUCUUCUCUAACAACAGAGUUUUACGAUCCGAAAACCUUCUUCACUCACGCGGCGUUGCUCGGUCAGACUUUCGUCCAUUGCCGAAGAUUCCCUACUGCUGCCUCCCGUAGGAGUA
rnacentral:rRNA from 1 species